GUUUGAGGCAUAUGCAAAGGAGCAGAAGGAGGACCAGGCCAGAGAGUUUCUGCAGCAGAUGAAGCAGAAGGGAUUUGUGCCUGAUGAGAAGGCUGUCCGGGAGGUUCUGGACAAGAGGGGUCAGGUAUUUAGAACUGUCAUCAACAUUCUGUUCAACAAGUAGUUGUUCUAGUAAUUUUAUUCUAGGCAUCAAAGUUUUGGAUUUUGACCAUGGACUAGUUUAAUUGUAACGAUUACAAUUUUUUUUUUUGGGGUG
rnacentral:misc_RNA from 1 species